GUGCUCACGUCAUGUCAUUGUGGGCUGUCUACGUCGGGUCAGAUAACAGGGCGAAAUAAUUUUCAGAAACCGAGGAAACGGACACUGGCAGUAGACUAUAACCGCAACAUACCAAAGGAAGAUGAAUUCAAAGGACGACAAGAGGACCGAUUCAUGCACCAGGCCUGUUUUUGUGCAUAACCCCCACCUGGACGCACUGAAAGAUGACGUCCUCUACCACUUUGGUUUAGGAACCGGAACUCACGACCUUCCAACUAUGUUUGGUGAUGUCAAAUUUGUGUGUGUUGGGGGCAGUCCGUGGAGAAUGAAAGCCUUCACUGAGUACAUUGCUGCUGAGCUCGGUAUGGAAGACCCCAAUUCAGAGUACCCAAACAUCUGUGCUGGAACAGACCGCUAUGCUAUGUACAAAGUUGGCUCUGUACUGUCUGUCAGUCAUGGGAUGGGCAUCUCAUCUAUUGCCAUAAUGUUGCAUGAGCUAAUAAAGCUCCUCCAUCACGCUCAAUGCACAGAUGUUACUAUUAUACGCAUUGGGACAUCAGGUGGAAUAGGGCUUAAGCCUGGCACAGUUGUUGUCACCAAGCAGUCUAUGGAUGCCACCUUCCUGCCCAAGUUUGAGCAGGUGAUCCUGGGGAAGACUGUGGUGCGCAAUACCGAUCUGGACCAAAGCCUGGCCGAGGAGCUGUUGCAGUGCAGCAAAGAGAUGAACCAGUUUGAGACAGUGAUAGGCAACACCAUGUGUACGCUGGAUUUCUACGAAGGGCAAGCCCGUUUGGAUGGUGCUUUCUGCUCCUACACUGAGAAGGAUAAACAGAACUACCUCAGUAAAGCCAGUGAAGCAGGAAUCUGCAACAUUGAAAUGGAGUCAUCAGUUUUUGCUGCUAUGUGCAAGCUGAGUGGUCUACGAGCGGCUGUGGUUUGUGUUACACUACUGGAUCGGCUGAAGGGGGAUCAGCUGAACGAGUCUCAUGAAGUUCUUCACAGUUACCAACAACGUCCUCAGAUACUGGUUGGUUACUACAUUAAGAAACAGUUAAAAGCCAAAGCAGAAUGUAGUAAAGUGCAAUAGCUAUUACACUGAUAUGCAAGCAUACAUCAAAAUUGUCUCUUGAAAAUAAACAUGUUAUAUAGAUUCUAUGCUCACCAAUAGCCAUACCUGUAAUACCUCCAGAAUCUUGAAGUUAUGCACUGCUUUUUUAUUUAUCCAUUCACACUUACAUAGUUAAAUGAUUUAACCGUCUAAAUAAACCGGAGUUAGCUAUUUCACUUUUGUUUCCUCUUGAAUUUAACUUAAAUACAGUUUAAGUGAGUCUUAAAUGUUAUGUAGCAGCAUUUAUUGAUCAAAUGUCUUUAUCUAAAGCGGCCUCUGUUUUAUGCAACAUAUAAAGUUCCUUAUCCAUAAAACCUGUUUGGGUUCAUGACUUUUGAAAUGUCUGUACUUACAACGGUGCUGUAGCAAAAUCAGCUCAAAUAGAGUAAAUCACUUUAAUGA